rnacentral:lncRNA from 1 species
CAAUAGAACCGAAAAGAAGGACAUGUAGGUGCCAAAAUAUACAGGUAAAAGGACAUAUACGUGCGAAAAUAGACAGGUAAGAGGACAUGUACAUUGUAUAGGUGUGCAAACAGACAGGUAAAAAGACAUGUAUAGGUGUGCAAACAGACAUGUAAAAAGACAUGUAUAGGUGUGCAAACAGACAGGUAAAAAGACAUGUAUAGGUGUGCAAACAGACAUGUAAAAAGACAUGUACAUGUAUAGGUGUGCAAACAGACAUGUAAAAAGACAUGUAUAGGUGUGCAAACAGACAGGUAUAAGCACAUGUAUAGGUGUGCAAACAGACAGGAAAAUAGACAUGUAUAGGUGUGCAAGCAGACAGGUAAAAGGACAUGUAUAGGUGUGCAAACAGACAGGUAAAAGCACAUGUAUAGGUGUGCAAACAGACAGGUAAAAAAGACAUGUAUAGGUGUGCAAACAGACAGGUAUAAGCACAUGUAUAGGUGUGCAAACAGACAGGAAAAUAGACAUGUAUAGAUGUGCAAACAGACAGGUAAAAAGACAUGUAUAGGUGUGCAAACAGACAUGUGAAAGAACAUGUAUAGGUGUGCAAACAGACAUGUAAAAAGACAUGUAUAGGUGUGCAAACAGACUGGUGAAAGGACAUGUAUUGGUGUGCAAACAGUCACUGUGACACGUACAGGUAUUGCGUAUCUUACUCAGAGAGUGUGGGUUGAAAUCCUUGACUGGACUCAAUCCUCCAAAAGUGUUCAACUUUCAGUUUCACUGAGAAGGUGAAGUGCUGCAUAUGAUACUAAUUGAAACUACUUUCAUUUUGUACCCUCAUUCACUCACUUUUUCCUGUUAGUAGUUUUGAGAAAUUAAGGUUCAGGCAAAUAUAUCAUACAAGGUGGGCGCCUUGAACCAUAACCAGAGAACGUGUUUGACUGGGAACGUGCAGAUCCGGGUUAGAAUUGUUCUCCAGCAACCCAUGCUUGUCGUAACAGGAGACAAACGGGACCGCGUGGUCAG